AUUGAACGCUGGCGGCAUGCCUUACACAUGCAAGUCGAACGGUAACAGGUCUUCGGACGCUGACGAGUGGCGAACGGGUGAGUAAUACAUCGGAACGUGCCAGUCGUGGCGGAUAACUACUCGAAAGAGUAGCUAAUACCGCAUACGAUCUGAGGAUGAAAGCGGGGGACCUUCGGGCCUCGCGCGAUUGGAGCGGCCGAUGGCAGAUUAGGUAGUUGGUGGGAUAAAGGCUUACCAAGCCGACGAUCUGUAGCUGGUCUGAGAGGACGACCAGCCACACUGGGACUGAGACACGGCCCAGACUCCUACGGGAGGCAGCAGUGGGGAAUUUUGGACAAUGGGCGAAAGCCUGAUCCAGCAAUGCCGCGUGCAGGAUGAAGGCCUUCGGGUUGUAAACUGCUUUUGUACGGAACGAAAAAGCUUCUCCUAAUACGAGAGGCCCAUGACGGUACCGUAAGAAUAAGCACCGGCUAACUACGUGCCAGCCGCCGCCGUAAGAC
rnacentral:rRNA from 1 species